ACCCCACUUUUGUGAGACUCUCUCAAGUGGAUGGAUAUUUUAGAAAUUGUGCUGCAUUUGAGAUUGUCAAUUUCAUGUUGUGCUCUCAAGUGAAUUUCAUAAUUGUGCUCUGCAUGUACCGCUUCCAUGCUGAAUUGCAUGAAAUUAAUGGGAUUAUAUACGAUGGAAACUUGAGAAGAAUUAUUGGCGCCGUACAGAAGUGAAUUUGGCACAUUGUCUUUCUGACCAUAUUCAUGAACUUUGAUUGGAACGUCCUCCCAUUAACAUCGUCAACAGUGUUAGCCAAUUUAAAUGUGCGAUGGUUUGUUUUUAUUUUGUCAUUAAACUUUCAUCCGGUUAUUUUGCAUUUCACGCAAAAGCAGACGAUGAGACAGUGUUCUGGGGCAAUAAAAUAAACACACAUGUGGCACAAAAGGAGAAAAUGGCAAUUUAAGCAUUGAAUUAAGUUUAAAACACUGAAAUUGGUUGGGUAUGUCAUUCAAGCAGGAGCCAACUGGAAAUUGCAUAAAGUACUACGAAAAUGUACAGGUCAAUUAAUUGAUUUAUGAGUUCAUCUGAAAUGGUCAAUUUUCUCAUUACUUCGAUGGACGAAUUACCACACUUUACCAGGGAAAAAGUACUGCCAUCUCAAGAUCCUCGACAAGUUACAUUUUAUGGAAUAAAAGACAUCUGCUUCAGCAGCUUUACAAUGAUCAGUGGAAUUCUUCCAGCUCUCUUCAGGGUUAUUUCGAAAAGAAAAUGCUCAUUCACAAGACGAUUUGAAGUAAAAAGGAAAAAAAAACAUGAACAUCGAUGGGAGAUGGGGGAAUUCUGAUAUUUUAUUGAGUAUAUCAAUGUUUGAUAUACAACCCACACACAACAUUUCUCUCCACUUUAACUUCUCAUACCAUUUUGUCAUCCAAUUUCACUACGUCCAAAGGCAACAUUGGAGUCCAAGAAUAGGAAUUAUUGGGGUAAUUUUCUUCAGUCGGCAUCGACAAUUUACUAACGAGUUGGUUCAGACAGAAAAAAAUGAGCUUAGCUUGAGCUUUGGAUUGUCAGAGCGAGUGGAACAAGAUCGAGAAGUCCGCCUUGGAAUGGCAAAAUGAGGGGCAUAUCAAUUCAGAAAAAAAACCCAUAUCCUGUAUCAAAGCAAAAACAAGAUCAACACUGAAACUAAAGACUUGGAAGUUGAAUGGGGGUUGAUUUCGAUUUUAAGGUUGAUUUUGUGUUGUUAAAACGAGAAGAAUCCCUGCUUAAUUUUAGUUUACUUUUGCUUUCUUUCCUGAGGCAUAAAUCUAGAGAUUAGGAAUUUUGUUCUAUCAGCUUCGUUAGAUUAAAAAAAAUCUUUUGAAAUUGAAUUAAAAAUAUUACGAGUUGCGGAGAAUAAAAAACACUUUGUCGUUUAUUCAUUUUCCUAUUAAAAUAGCCAGUUUUUGCUCUGAGCGUGUAAUUAAAAAAAAAAACGUUUUUCCAUUGGAAAUUAAUCAUAAUACUUCAUUUGACAAGAACCUCACCGUUCAUAAUUUUUUCAAUUGGCUAAUUUUUACUAUAGGAAUACAAAACGAAAAUACAAUAGUUAACGAUUAAGAAAAAGAA